rnacentral:rRNA from 1 species
UACGUAGGGUGCAAGCGUUAAUCGGAAUUACUGGGCGUAAAGCGUGCGCAGGCGGUUGUGCAAGACAGAUGUGAAAUCCCCGGGCUUAACCUGGGAACUGCAUUUGUGACUGCACGGCUCGAGUGCGGCAGAGGGGGAUGGAAUUCCGCGUGUAGCAGUGAAAUGCGUAGAUAUGCGGAGGAACACCGAUGGCGAAGGCAAUCCCCUGGGCCUGCACUGACGCUCAUGCACGAAAGCGUGGGGAGCAAACAGG